ACAUCACUUCCUAUGCCCAGUGGAAAAUUCCAUCUUAAAAUCACCCAGCCCAAGCCCUCUUCAGUAGACUCAGAUAGAUGGCUUGUCAAGGGCAUGACUUAACUUCUCCAAACACAACCAGCCCAGUUUCAACUGCCAUUUGGGGAACUUUCCCAAUUACCACAUUUCCGCACGUCAAGUAUGAAUUACUUUAAUUGCCCCAGAAGAACGCACUGUUGAAACAUUUGACUUGCCCAGAACUAAUUGUCUGUCAAAAAGAUAUUUUGCAGCCAAGCUGAUCUCUUAAUUGGACAUCUAAUUUAACUGAAAACCUUUUUCCCUGCUUGUUUUAUGCUUUCUUCUCCUGUUUUUGCCAAAUUCUGGAUGCUGGGCACUGCUUUCAGAAAUAAUUUAUCUUGUUAUUUUCUAUUAUAAAAGUAAUACAUGUUCAUUAUAGAAAAACUGAAAAAAAAAAUUCCACAUGAAGAAAAACAGUGGAUCCUAGACUCAUUGCCCAGAGGAGGACUAUGAACAUUCCACAUGAAGAAAAACAGUGGCUCCUAGACUCAUUGCCCAGAGGAAGACUAUGAACAUUCCAAAUGAAGAAAAACAGUGGCUCCUAGACUCAUUGCCCAGAGGAAGACUAUGAACAUUCCAAAUGAAGAAAAACAGUGGCUCCUAGACUCAUUGCCCAGAGGAAGACUAUUAACAUUCCACAUGAAGAAAAACAGUGGCUCCUAGACUCAUUGCCCAGAGGAGGACUAUGAAUAUUCCACAUGAAGAAAAACAGUGGCUCCUAGACUCAUUGCCCAGAGGAAGACUAUGAACAUUCCAAAUGAAGAAAAACAGUGGCUCCUAGACUCAUUGCCCAGAGGAAGACUAUGAACAUUCCAAAUGAAGAAAAACAGUGGCUCCUAGACUCAUUGCCCAGAGGAGGACUAUGAACAUUCCAAAUGAAGAAAAACAGUGGAUUCUAGACUCAUUGCCCAGAGAAAGACUAUGAACAUUCCAAAUGAAGAAAAACAGUGGAUCCUAGACUCACUGCCCAGAGGAGGACUAUGAACAUUCCAAAUGAAGAAAAACAGUGGAUCCUAGACUCAUUGCCCAGAGAAAGACUAUGAACAUUCCAAAUGAAGAAAAACAGUGGAUCCUAGACUCACUGCCCAGAGGAGGACUAUGAACAUCUUAGCAAGUCUCCCCUCAGGUUGUCCUAGAAUAGAUGUCUCUACGUAGUUAAUAAAAACAUACAUUCAAGUUUUGCAGCUUUUUGUUCCACUUUACAUUUUAAGUUGAACGUUUACACUUCCCAUUCCAAGAUCUUCAGAAACAUGUUUAGAAACAGAAGAAUAUCCCAACAACAGUCUGUUUAACCUCUUCCCCUAAUGCUGAACUAUUGUUGCUUUAAGCAUACAUUUUCUGUGUGUGUUUCAGAUGUAGUUUCCUUAGGAAAGAUUCUCUAUGCUGUGCAACAAUUCCCCAUGUGUCUCUUACAUUUCUGCACAUCUUGUGUCAGCAUUUGUUCUAGACCGUCUUUAUAAGGAUGUUUGUAUAGCUAAUAGCAUUGGAAGAUAGGGCUAAUAUAGUAGAAGACAGAUUUAUUUGCUGAUUAGGAUUAUAAUAAUAAUAUCUCCGGACCAGGCGCAGUGGCUCAUGCCUGUAAUCCCACCAAUUUGUGAGGCUGAGGCAGGCAGAUGACCUGAGGUUGGGAGUUCGAGACCAGCCUGGCUAAUAUGGUGAAACCCCCGUCUCUACUACAAACACUUAAAAAAUUAGCUGGGUGUGGUGGUGGGUGCCUGUAAUCCC
rnacentral:lncRNA from 10 species